AGAGCUGGGAAGGGAAGACACCUUGAAAAAUGCAAAGUUUGAGGCUGAUUGUGAGUCAAAUCUGUAUCUGCUGAGGAAGUUAAGUGAUGCACCCUCUAAUUAAGUCUCUGCAGCACUUUCCUCCUACAUAAAUGGGCUGGUGGGUUCCUGGUUGUUCCUGUGGCCACCAGUGCAGCUGAGGGACCCAUCUGAGUGACAGGUUCUUCUCUCAACUGUUUGAGUUUGAAAAGCAAAGACAGCCAAGAGGAAAUUGUUUUGGAGAGAAGUGAUAGCCAACCUGGGAUAGCAGUCAAGGAAAUUUCAGUGGUGACACAAUUCAGUUACAAGGAGGUUUAGGAAGAGAAGUGUCAGCACCUUCUGUCUGGAACAGGAGGGAUACUUGUCUGAGUUGGCAA
rnacentral:lncRNA from 1 species